UACCAGCUCUCCGAGUGGUGUGGAUGUUUAUUGGGCCUAAAGCAUCCGUAGCUGGCUGGACAAGUCCCCUGUUAAAUCCACCGAUUUAAUCGUUGGAGUGCGGGGGAUACUGUUCGGCUAGGGGACGGGAGAGGCAGACGGUAUUUUCGGGGUAGGGGUGAAAUCCUAUAAUCCCGGGAAGACCACCAGUGGCGAAGGCUGUCUGCUAGAACGCGCCCGACGGUGAGGGAUGAAAGCUGGGGGAGCGAACCGGAUUAGAUACCCGGGUAGUCCCAGCUGUAAACGAUGCAGGCUAGGUGUUUGGGCGGCCACGUGCCGCUCUAGUGCCGCAGGGAAGCCGUUAAGCCUGCCGCCGUGGGGAGUACGGCCGCAAGGCUGAAACUUAAAGGAAUUGGCGGGGGAGCACCACAAGGGGUGAAGCUUGCGGUUU
rnacentral:rRNA from 1 species